AGUGAACGCUGGCGGUAGGCCUAACACAUGCAAGUCGAACGGCAGCACAGUAAUAGCUUGCUCUUACGGGUGGCGAGUGGCGGACGGGUGAGGAAUACAUCGGAAUCUACUUUUUCGUGGGGGAUAACGUAGGGAAACUUACGCUAAUACCGCAUCCGACCUACGGGUGAAAGCAGGGGAUCUUCGGACCUUGCGCGAUUGAAUGAGCCGAUGUCGGAUUAGCUAGUUGGCGGGGUAAAGGCCCACCAAGGCGACGAUCCGUAGCUGGUCUGAGAGGAUGAUCAGCGGCACUGGAACUGAGACACGGUCCAGACUCCUACGAGAGGCAGCAGAGGGGAAUAUUGGACAGUGGGCGCAAGCCUGAUCCAGCCAUACCGCGUGGGUGAAGAAGGCCUUCGGGUUGUAAAGCCCUUUUGUUGGGAAAGAAAAGCAGCAGGUUAAUACCCCGCUGUUCUGACGGUAACCAAAGAAUAAGCACCGGCUAACUUCGUG
rnacentral:rRNA from 1 species